GCAUUCCGACAGCAUGCUGAGAACAUUAACUCAAUAGUCAUGGGUUCAACUGAAGAAUCAUAGGUUAUUAUAAAGCAGGAAUAGGAAGACACCUGUCUGCAGGGAGGCUGAUAUGAAAAAUUGAGCCCUUCAUGAAGGAACAGGGAGCAUAGCCUUGUAGGAAUCCCAGCAAUUCAGAGGUAGAGGAGGAUGGGCUUCUCACCCAGGCAUUACCCCAGUGCUUUGCAGAAAAGAAAAACAAUUUAACACUGAUUGGAUAACACCUCACCAUUCUUCAAUCUGAG